UGUUUUGAGACGUCGACUGCCAUUUGAAUUCAGAUACAUUUUUUAAAAAAAUCUUCCGAACGAAGCGCAAAAUUGUGUAUUAUGUUGAAAGGUUAAGCAAUUCAAUUAGAGAAACGCAUUGCUAUUGCUUUAUAUGCUUUGGCUCUUCUGCAGAAUACCGAACGAUUGGGAAUAUGUUCGAAAUCGGUAAAAGCACUGUCUGCGCCAUUCUAAUUGAUUUCUGUCAUGAAGUCUGUCAUUGUUUGUGGCCUUUGUAUUUGAUGAAAUUUUCAAUGAACGGGUCAGUGUCAGGAGCUAUCGGUAAUAAAUUAAAUUUUUUUCAUUGACGUUUUUACAUUGGAGCUGACGAAGAUGUUGUUGACAACUAUAAUUACAAAGGCUGGUAUUCCACAGUUCUUUUGGCUUUAGUAGAUGCAAGAUGUCGCUUUAUAUACAUCAACGUUGCUAGUCCAGGCCGUUGUAAUGACUCUUCAAUAUUUGAGAGAUCAUCUUUAAAAAGCGAGUUUGCACGAUCUACUAUAUUUAAAGAUAUGAGUAGAAAAAAACGUCAGUUAAUGUUCCAGUCGUUUUGUUGGGAGACUCUGCGUUCAAAUUUGAUGAAACCAUACCCAUUUUGGGUAAACCAACCUUUGGAUAAAAAAAAAUUCAACUAUGUACUCUCGAAAUGCCGAAGAGUGGUGGAGAAUGCUUUCGGUCAUUUAAAGGGAAGGUUUAGACGGGUUGGAAAAGGUUUGGCUAACUACAUGGCCAACAGGAAAAUUGUCAUAAAAGCGUGCUGCGUUUUGCACAAUUUUUUAAAUGAGGAAAAUGAUGAAAUUAAUGAAAAGUGGAUUGCAGCACAAUAAAUCGAAAACGAAUCUCGAAGUUGCCAGAAGACGUCUCUAGCAUUUGUGGAAAUGUCAACCCAAGAGCAGAGGAAAUAAGACUAACUUUCGUUUCGUGUUUCGCAUCGCUUGACGAUGGUCGAGCGCUACCACGCGACGUAGAAGGUCCAUUGCCUUGGCUUAGGAGCGGCGACUCUCCUUCUACAUCGACCUCCAUGUAAAUUGGUGCAAUGCUAACUGAAAAUAGAAGAAACAACUUGGUGGACCGCCUCAUAAUGUUUCCACCGACUAGGGAAGCCACCCAAUGGGCCAAUUUUAUGAUUAUCUUGCCUAAAAAAAAAAAAAUAUUUAAUGUUAUUUGUUUACCACAUAAUUUAUUACUUACCUCUAUUCAGUGGACGUAUAUUCGUGUGCAGCCCAAAAACAUUUUAGCAGACAUUUCCUCAUAUAUAUUCUAUGGUUAUUUUGUCGUGUUGAUCGCAGCUCUGGCAUUUUUAGUUGCCUUACCCCUAUUAUUUCGGCCUCGGCAGCCUCACUCCACAUU